GAGUUUGAUCAUGGCUCAGAUUGAACGCUGGCGGCAGGCCUAACACAUGCAAGUCGAGCGGAUGACGGGAGCUUGCUCCUUGAUUCAGCGGCGGACGGGUGAGUAAUGCCUGGGAAUCUGCCUGGUAGUGGGGGACAACGUUUCGAAAGGAACGCUAAUACCGCAUACGUCCUACGGGAGAAAGCAGGGGACCUUCGGGCCUUGCGCUAUCAGAUGAGCCUAGGUCGGAUUAGCUAGUUGGUGGGGUAAUGGCUCACCAAGGCGACGAUCCGUAACUGGUCUGAGAGGAUGAUCAGUCACACUGGAACUGAGACACGGUCCAGACUCCUACGGGAGGCAGCAGUGGGGAAUAUUGGACAAUGGGCGAAAGCCUGAUCCAGCCAUGCCGCGUGUGUGAAGAAGGUCUUCGGAUUGUAAAGCACUUUAAGUUGGGUAGAAGGGCAGUAAGUUAAUACCUUGCUGUUUUGACGUUACCGACAGAUAAGCACCGGCUAACUCU
rnacentral:rRNA from 1 species